rnacentral:rRNA from 1 species
UACGUAGGGUGCGAGCGUUAAUCGGAAUUACUGGGCGUAAAGCGUGCGCAGGCGGUUCGUUGUGUCGGUGGUGAAAGCCCCGGGCUUAACCUGGGAAUGGCCAUGGAAACUGGCGAACUGGAGUGUGGCAGAGGGGGGUGGAAUUCCGCGUGUAGCAGUGAAAUGCGUAGAGAUGCGGAGGAACACCGAUGGCGAAGGCAGCCCCCUGGGCUAACACUGACGCUCAGGCUCGAAAGCGUGGGGAGCAAACAGG